CCUUAGUAGCGGCGAGUGAAGCGGCAAGAGCUCAAAUUUGAAAUCUGGUACCUUCGGUGCCCGAGUUGUAAUUUGAAGAAAGUAAUCUUGGAGGUGGCCUUUGUCUAUGUUCCUUGGAACAGGACGUCACAGAGGGUGAGAAUCCCGUGCGAUGAGGUGUCCAUUUCCGUGUAAGAUGCUUUCGAAGAGUCGAGUUGUUUGGGAAUGCAGCUCAAAGUGGGUGGUAAAUUCCAUCUAAAGCUAAAUAUUGGCGAGAGACCGAUAGCGAACAAGUACUGUGAAGGAAAGAUGAAAAGAACUUUGAAAAGAGAGUGAAAAAGUACGUGAAAUUGUUGAAAGGGAAGGGUAUUUGAUCAGACUUGGUAUUUAGUUAUCAUUGCUCCUUGUGGGUGGUGCUCUAACUUUUUACUGGGCCAGCAUCAGUUUUGGUGGUAAGAUAAUGACAGUUGAAUGUGGCUCCUCGGAGUGUUAUAGCUUCUGUUGAUGUUGCCUACCGGGACUGAGGUCUGCGGCUUUGCCUAGGAUGCUGGCGUAAUGAUCCAAUACCGCCCGUCUUG
rnacentral:rRNA from 1 species